rnacentral:rRNA from 1 species
GAUGAACGCUGGCGGCGUGCCUAAUACAUGCAAGUCGAGCGAACAGAUAAGGAGCUUGCUCCUUUGACGUUAGCGGCGGACGGGUGAGUAACACGUGGGUAACCUACCUAUAAGACUGGGAUAACUUCGGGAAACCGGAGCUAAUACCGGAUAACAUUUGGAACCGCAUGGUUCUAAAGUGAAAGAUGGUUUUGCUAUCACUUAUAGAUGGACCCGCGCCGUAUUAGCUAGUUGGUAAGGUAACGGCUUACCAAGGCAACGAUACGUAGCCGACCUGAGAGGGUGGUCCGCCACACUGGAACUGAGACACGGUCCAGACUCCUAAGGGAGGCAGCAGUAGGGAAUCUUCCGCAAUGGGCGAAAGCCUGACGGAGCAACGCCGCGUGAGUGAUGAAGGGGUUCGGCUCGUAAAACUCUGUUAUUAGGGAAGAACAAACGUGUAAGUAACUGUGCACGUCUUGACGGUACCUAAUCAGAAAGCCACGGCUAACUACGUG